GACGAACCGUCCGAACGUUAUUGGGAAUCACUGGGCUUAAAGGGUGCGUAGGCGGCGCGGAAAGUUGGGUGUGAAAUCCCUCGGCUCAACCGAGGCACUGCGCCCAAAACUACCGCGCUCGAGGGAGAUAGAGGUGAGCGGAACUUAGGGUGGAGCGGUGAAAAGCGUUGAUAUCCUAAGGAACACCGGUGGCGAAAGCGGCUCACUGGAUCUCUUCUGACGCUGAGGCACGACAGCUAGGGUAGCGAAUGCG
rnacentral:rRNA from 1 species